rnacentral:rRNA from 1 species
UACAGAGGGUGCGAGCGUUGUUCGGAAUUACUGGGCGUAAAGCGCGCGCAGGCGGCUUCUUAAGUCCAUCGGUGAAAUGCCGGGGCUCAACCCCGAGUGUGCCGAGGAUACUGGGAGGCUGGAGACGAGUGAGAGGCGAAGCGGAAUUCCCGGUGUAGCGGUGAAAUGCGCAGAUAUCGGGAAGAACACCCGUGGCGAAGGCGGCUCUCUGGGACGGUACUGACGCUGAGACGCGAAAGCGUGGGGAGCGAACAGG